UCUACCGCCUGGGACUACGGCCGCAAGGUUAAACUCAAAGAAUUGACGGGGGCCCGCACAAGCAGCGGAGCGUGUGGUUUAAUUCGAUGUUACACGAAGAACCUUACCCGGGUUUGACAUGCAGGUAGUAGGGAAGCGAAAGCGGACCGACCCUUCGGGGAGCCUGCACAGGUGCUGCAUGGCUGUCGUCAGCUCGUGUCGUGAGAUGUCCGGUUAAGUCCGGUAACGAGCGCAACCCCUGCCGUAUGUUACAUGUGUCAUACGGGACUGCCGGUAUCAAGCCGGAGGAAGGUGGGGAUGAAGUCAAGUCAGCAUGGCCUUUAUGUCCGGGGCUACACACACGCUACAAUGGCCAGUACAAUGGGUUGCAAAGCCGCAAGGUAGAGCCAAUCCCCAAAACUGGUCUCAGUUCAGAUUGCAGGCUGCAACUCGCCUGCAUGAAGUCGGAGUUGCUAGUAACCGCGCGUCAGCCAUAGUGCGGUGAAUACGUUCCCGGGCCUUGUACACACCGCCCGUCACGUCAUGGGAGCUGGCAACACCUGAAGCCGGUAUCCUAACCGUAAGGAGGGAGCCGUCGAAGGUGGGGCUGGUGACUGGGACGA
rnacentral:rRNA from 1 species